GCUUGAUAGUUGGUUAGUGUGUGGUGCUGAUAAUACCAAGGUCGCAGGUUCGAUCCCUGCAUGGGACU